UAUAUUCGAUUGCCGUUUCCCAUGGCAGGUUUUCCGACUAUGAAGCCAGCUGACGUGUCUUUUUAUGAGGUCUGCUAAGUAUGUGUUGAGCGGAUGACGUAGAUGCCAAAUUUUAAGAUGACGUGUCUUAUCAUCCUCCACCACUCAUCCCUACUCUCUUCCUUACCGCCGCCCCCUCUCCCCCGACUCCGAUCUCGGCCCCAACUCAACCAUCACCGGAAUUAGUUGACCUAUUCUCUCUUUCCCCCCCCCCUCUCUCUCUACAAACCCAAAAACCCCCAAAUCUCCACCGCUGCCGGAAGCAAUAGGGAAAGGGGGAGAUGGUAGGGAGGGUCUCCACUUUGAUAGUUAUGGUUCUUUUUCUUUUGGGCUUGUUGGAUGAAAACAGAGUGUGAAAGACGACGGUUGCUGCAACGGGGGAGCCGGUGAAGGAGGUGGUGACGGUGGCGGAAUUUGGAAACUCAUCCGCGGAGGAACGUCGUGGAGGAAAGAAUCCAUAUUCUCUACGCUUUUUUUGUCUCUUCUUCUUCUUCUUGCUAAAGAGAGAGUUCAAGAAGACUUUGUUGAAUUCGCAGCCGCCACGUCUUCUCUCACUCUUGCUGCUUUUCUGUGCCAGCAACGGAGGUGGUGAUGGCGGCGGUGGCAGCGGUGUCGCCACGUCUUCUCUCACUCUUGCUGCUUUUCUGUGCAAGCAACGGAGGUGGUGAUGGCGGCGGUGGCAGCGGUGUCGCGAUGGGAUUUCUGUCUUCCACAUGUUUAUAAAUAUGUCUUGUACUCGACCUUUCCUUUUUCGCACUCUUUCCCGGCUCCAUUUCUCACUUUCUUUGAAUUCCGGCGGCGGAGCUUUCUCCGCCGGCGGCAGAGGCGGCUUCGGCGCCGAGACGGGAUUCAUCAAACCCAAGUUAGAAUGCGAACAUGUUGAUUGCUUGGUUUCUCUUGAAGUUACAUAUAACUAUUAAAGCAAACAGGUUAUAUCAACUAUGGUGUCUAUUUAGUGUUCUUGUCCGUGCCUAAUUUUCCUUCAGUUAGAAGACAGUUUUGUUUAGAUAAUUUCAUUGCCUUCUCUUAAGAUUGCCAUGAAAACGAAUCUGAUUGAACAGUACCGGAUGGAAAGAGAGAGACAGCAGAAGGUACACAACUGCAUUCCAAAACAUAGUCAAUAAAUAUGAUGUUAUAUUUUCUUGGAGAUUCUAAAUAGUCAUGAAGAAGCUCGUUUCUAAAGCGCAACCUAUGCCGUAUUUUGACAAGCCCUUCGUCCCCAGAAGGUCUGAGAAGAAUCCGACUAUACCGAAAGAAUCCAAGUUCAACUUACCUCUACAGAAGAAGAUCAAAUAUAACCCGUCUUUGGAUGACUUCACAACAGAAUGCCGGUGAACAAUGAUUCGGAUCAUUCAUUCUUUUAUGUGUAUAUGUUUGCAUUAAUUAGUGAGAGGCUUGCAAUUUUGGGUAGUGAAAAA